UGCGACAAUCAGCCCCUACAUCCCCGACAUUUGUGAUGCCGAAGUUGUCCAAGAGAUGCUGCAGACCACCGAAGCAAGUAAUUGAAAUCCCCCGCGAACUGCAGCAUUGCCAUAUUCCUGCAACUCUACCUAGAACAUAAUAUAUAAUUAUCCUUCGACCUUAUUAAAUCUCCCGUACACCGAAUUCCACUACGAACUUUGCUUUAACUUCAGGGCCAAACGCUAGUGGAAUUUCAUUAGAUAGGUACCUAUGACUGAAAAACAAAAGCAUGCAAAUUAAACAACUA